AGUGAACGCUGGCGGUAGGCCUAACACAUGCAAGUCGAACGGCAGCACAGUAAGAGCUUGCUCUUACGGGUGGCGAGUGGCGGACGGGUGAGGAAUACAUCGGAAUCUACUUUUUCGUGGGGGAUAACGUAGGGAAACUUACGCUAAUACCGCAUACGACCUACGGGUGAAAGCAGGGGAUCUUCGGACCUUGCGCGAUUGAAUGAGCCGAUGUCGGAUUAGCUAGUUGGCGGGGUAAAGGCCCACCAAGGCGACGAUCCGUAGCUGGUCUGAGAGGAUGAUCCGCCAAACUGGAACUGAGACACGGUCCAGACUCCUACGGGAGGCAGCAGUGGGGAAUAUUGGACAAUGGGCGCAAGCCUGAUCCAGCCAUACCGCGUGGGUGAAGAAGGCCUUCGGGUUGUAAAGCCCUUUUGUUGGGAAAGAAAAGCUGGAGGUUAAUACCCCCCUGGUCUGACGGUACCCAAAGAAUAAGCACCGGCUAACUUCGUG
rnacentral:rRNA from 1 species